UCGGAUUGUAGGCUGCAACUCGCCUACAUGAAGUCGGAGUUGCUAGUAAUCGCGGAUCAGAAUGCCGCGGUGAAUGCGUUCCCGGGUCUUGUACACACCGCCCGUCACACCAUGGAAGUUGGGGCGCCCGAAGUUGCCUAAGAAAUAAGGUACCUAAGGCGAAACCAAUGACUGGGUGAAGUCGUAACAAGGUACC
rnacentral:rRNA from 1 species